rnacentral:lncRNA from 1 species
CUUCAAAUUAAAAUCACGAUCGGGCUUCCUGUGCGCUAACUCAUUCUCCGACUCCGUAUUUUUGUUUUGCGCCAUCAGCCGAAGUGAAGCCAAACUCAGAUAAUUCACUUUCACCCAGCCCAGCCCAUUAAUCCCAUCAAUCUGAUAAUUCACUUUAUCCGAGCCCAGCCCAUUAACCCUAAUCUACGUAUUGUUGAGACUCAAGCCAAAGCGCACACAGCUUUCUCAUCCUCUGAAUAACCU